GACGAACGCUGGCGGCGUGUUUAACACAUGCAAGUCGAACGGAAAGGCCCUGCUUUUGUGGGGUGCUCGAGUGGCGAACGGGUGAGUAACACGUGAGUAACCUGCCCUUGACUUUGGGAUAACUUCAGGAAACUGGGGCUAAUACCGGAUAGGAGCUCCUGCUGCAUGGUGGGGGUUGGAAAGUUUCGGCGGUUGGGGAUGGACUCGCGGCUUAUCAGCUUGUUGGUGGGGUAGUGGCUUACCAAGGCUUUGACGGGUAGCCGGCCUGAGAGGGUGACCGGCCACAUUGGGACUGAGAUACGGCCCAGACUCCUACGGGAGGCAGCAGUGGGGAAUAUUGCACAAUGGGCGGAAGCCUGAUGCAGCAACGCCGCGUGCGGGAUGACGGCCUUCGGGCUGUAAACCGCUUUCGCCUGUGACGAAGCGUGAGUGACGGUAAUGGGUAAAGAAGCACCGGCUAACUACGUG
rnacentral:rRNA from 1 species